rnacentral:lncRNA from 1 species
UGUAGAACUGUUUCAGGUUCAAAAUAAUAAUAACCAUGUGUGUAGCAAUUUCGAUACAGGCGUGUACUACUGCUCCAUUAACUUCGAAUGAGGUAAUUGUACCGUCACUGGACCAUUUCUUUUUUUGGGGUUCACCAAUGCAGUGGAACUAUUUUAUUUCCAGACGAGAACACACCACUCCCAUUCCCAUACACAUAUACUCCGUACGUCCGACUCUGGAGGAGUUCAACAAUUAGCUGACCAGGCAGGUGUCCGUUUAUAUCAGGUUCGUUAAAGAAUUAUGGUAAGUAGCAGCUCUCCAAAGUUUCUCAAUAUUUGAUAGCCGAAGCCACACAAUUACAACAACCAGACCCUUAGAAAUAUGCGUUGCGUUUUCAGAGUCAAAACCAAGACCUCCACAGGAGACAGGCUAAUGGAAAAUAUACAGGGGAGAAGUGAAAUUGCUAGUGUCGGAUGGACAUUUGGAGAUCGACAGCAAAACCCUCCACACCUGAAAUGGCAUGGCUAACUUCCCCAGUACUCCCACUUUAUUCAGAGCAUUUCCUGGGAUUUCCGUACAGCGCGCCUGACCUUCUUCUUGAACUCAUCCUGCUUCUCUCUCCAGUCCUUCUGCACAAGAAACAUCCAUUAGGAAGUGCAAAAGGGUACUAUAGCGAUAACUUUCCAUUCAGCAAAAAGACAGCUCAAAUUACAAAUAUUGCAAGGUUAGCAUAAGACAGUGAAGAGCUGGCUGCAAGAGUAUCUCAUGGAACCUUUAGGCCUAGUUUGGUAGCAAGGGAUCACCCCAGGAUCCCCGUCAUUUGCCUGGGUGGGAAGAGCACGAGUUAAUUUAGCCCCGGUCUUUACGCAGGCCCGACCCACCCCAAUUCCCUGGCUAGGAAACCCUUGCCUCAUCACUCCGGAAAAGUUCUCCCCGUCCUUCUGACGACGCGCCACUGCCCGCGACGCGAAGUUCUGGUGUCCUCCACCUCACAACCUGCUCUGCUGCGGCUAGGAAAUAAGACGCUACACGCUAGCAUCCGCUUCUCUCUCCCAAAUGGUCACACAAUUUUCCGCGGGGCUUAUAAGAAUAUUCCACCCAGGUCGUCUUUUCCCUGGAAAUAGCUACCAGGUCUUAAGGGUUCUAGGUAACCUCAACAGGAUGGUGUUGAUGAUAAUAUUAACAAUGAUUUCUCAAAAAGAAUUAAGAACAAGUCCAGUUACAUUCUGGGUUCGCUUAGAUGCAUAGUUAGGUUAGCUAUAUGUCUUCUGGCUGCAUGUCUUGCUGAAUAGCACUGGUGAGAUCCAUGAUUCUUAUUUUAGUUGCAUGUGCCAUUUUUUUGGAUACUUAACAUACCCAGUUGACUAGUAGAAAUUUAUCAUAGCUCUAGUUCGUCUCUUAGGCUCAGCUCUAUCUUAAGAGAUAAUAAACAAAAUCUCUAGUUAAAACCGCAUUGUCGUCUUUCUUGACCGGCUAUGUCCUAGAUCCGUUCAUCCCCAAACCGCAUUGUCGUCUUUUCUUUCUUGAUCAGCUAUAUCCUAGAUCCAUUCAUCCCCAACCAGUACCCUCCAUCACCAAGCAGCCUGCUACUUCAAGCCAUUGCUGUCUGGUCUCUUUACAAUGGAUAUUACGUAAUGUGACCUAACAUGCACAACAAUUAACUUCCUUAGAACUGUCAGCACAGAAUAUUCAGCAUUGGCGAGUAACAGCAACUGUAAUUGCUUCUUUUUUACAAUAUAUCAAUAGAUAGCAGCACCCGCUGCACCUUAAAGAUCAUUGAACUCAUGAAAACAAGGGGAUGGGAUGAUUUGUCAUCUAGACAAAUCACCAGGAAAAUGAAAUUUUCUUGGGAAUUAUUAAAGUUAACUUACAGCUGCUUCAAUAUUUGCCGGUGAUUCAUCAUUUGGACUAGAAAGCAUCGAAAUGAUGCUUAAUACUAUACUCUCAACCUGCAAAUGGAGACCAAAGUUUAAAUUAACAACUAUUAUAAGCAUACACAAACAUUGGCAUGUGUCUGCUAACUAUUCACCUUCAGAUCAGAAACUAAAAAGGAAACGGAAAAUCUGGUCAAGAGGAGCACUCCAAUCAAGUGGAAAAUACUCAAUGUUGAGCUCAUAAUUAACCCAAAGAAAUAUAUAUGCUUGAGAGGAGAACUGUGAAACAUGUACCGCAUUUCAAAGUGCCAUCGUAGGAGUGUAAUUAAUAAGAUGACCAUCUCUUUCUGAUGAUGGAUUCAAAAGCAUGUAUAAAAAUCAAGUGCUCUGGUAUUUUUCAAGCAUUUAUAACAAUCAGCAUAUGAAGUGUGAGCAUUUUCAGAAGAUGGUGUUCAUUCAUACAACAAGAAAACAGAAUCCUAUAAGACCAAAACAGUCAAAGCCUCUUCAUGUUUUUCAACCUUCAUUAAAUGAACCAACUAAACUGAUACGAAAUUGAGACUGUCAACGCUCAUACGUAGACAAUGAUGUAGUACUCUAACCAUAGACAUGACAACACUUUAGCCCAAUGAUUAUAACACCGUAUUUGAGCAUCUUUCUUAUUAAAAGGACAAACAAAAAGGNNNNNNNNNNNNNNNNNNNNNNNNNNNNNNNNNNNNNNNNNNNNNNNNNNNNNNNNNNNNNNNNNNNNNNNNNNNNNNNNNNNNNNNNNNNNNNNNNNNNAGCAAUUUCGAUACAGGCGUGUACUACUGCUCCAUUAACUUCGAAUGAGGUAAUUGUACCGUCACUGGACCAUUUCUUUUUUUGGGGUUCACCAAUGCAGUGGAACUAUUUUAUUUCCAGACGAGAACACACCACUCCCAUUCCCAUACACAUAUACUCCGUACGUCCGACUCUGGAGGAGUUCAACAAUUAGCUGACCAGGCAGGUGUCCGUUUAUAUCAGGUUCGUUAAAGAAUUAUGGUAAGUAGCAGCUCUCCAAAGUUUCUCAAUAUUUGAUAGCCGAAGCCACACAAUUACAACAACCAGACCCUUAGAAAUAUGCGUUGCGUUUUCAGAGUCAAAACCAAGACCUCCACAGGAGACAGGCUAAUGGAAAAUAUACAGGGGAGAAGUGAAAUUGCUAGUGUCGGAUGGACAUUUGGAGAUCGACAGCAAAACCCUCCACACCUGAAAUGGCAUGGCUAACUUCCCCAGU